ensembl:miRNA
UCCUGCACCUCCUCUGUCCCUGAGUGGUGUCUGUCCAGUGCCCUUUUUAUGUUGUACUACUGGUGAUGAUGCACAAAAAGCAGUGCAAUGUUAAAAGGGCAUUGGCCAGCAA